rnacentral:rRNA from 1 species
AUUGAACGCUGGCGGCAGGCCUAACACAUGCAAGUCGAACGAGUGGCGGACGGGUGAGUACUGUCUGGGAAAUUGCCUGAUUGAGGGGGAUAACUACUGGAAACGGUAGCUAAUACCGCAUACCAUCAGAUGUGCCCAGAUGGGAUUAGCUAGUUGGUGGGGUAACGGCUCACCAAGGCGACGAUCCCUAGCUGGUCUGAGAGGAUGACCAGCCACACUGGAACGGAGACACGGCCCAGACUCCUACGGGCGUCAGCAGUGGGGAAUAUUGCACAAUGGGCGCAAGCCGGAUGCAGCCAUGCCGCGGGUAUGAAGAAGGCCUUGGGGUUGUAAAGUACUUUCAGCGGGGAGGCUUUACCCGCAGAAGAAGCACCGGCUAACUCCGUGCCAGCAGCCGCGGUAAUUC